rnacentral:rRNA from 1 species
UACGGGGGGGGUAAGCGUUGUUCGGAAUUACUGGGCGUAAAGGGCUCGUAGGCGGCCAACUAAGUCAGACGUGAAAUCCCUCGGCUUAACCGGGGAACUGCGUCUGAUACUGGAUGGCUUGAGUUUGGGAGAGGGAUGCGGAAUUCCAGGUGUAGCGGUGAAAUGCGUAGAUAUCUGGAGGAACACCGGUGGCGAAGGCGGCAUCCUGGACCAACACUGACGCUGAUGAGCGAAAGCCAGGGGAGCAAACGGG